rnacentral:rRNA from 1 species
UUAGAGUUUGAUUCUGGCUCAGAUUGAACGCUGGCGGCAGGCUUAACACAUGCAAGUCGAGCGGAUGAGUGGAGCUUGCUCCAUGAUUCAGCGGCGGACGGGUGAGUAAUGCCUAGGAAUCUGCCUGGUAGUGGGGGACAACGUUUCGAAAGGAACGCUAAUACCGCAUACGUCCUACGGGAGAAAGCAGGGGACCUUCGGGCCUUGCGCUAUCAGAUGAGCCCAGGUCGGAUUAGCUAGUAGGUGAGGUAAAGGCUCACCUAGGCGACGAUCCGUAACUGGUCUGAGAGGAUGAUCAGUCACACUGGAACUGAGACACGGUCCAGACUCCUACGGGAGGCAGCAGUGGGGAAUAUUGGACUAUGGGCCACCCCCUGAUCCAGCCAUGCCGCGUGUGUGAAGAAGGUCUUCGGAUUGUAAAGCACUUUAAGUUGGGAGGAAGGGCAGUAAGUUAAUACCUUGCUGUUUUGACGUUACCAACAGAAUAAGCACCGGCUAACUUCGUGCCAGCAGCCGCGGUAAUACGAAGGGUGCAAGCGUUAAUUGGAAUUACUGGGCGUAAAGCGCGCGUAGGUGGUUCAGCAAGUUGGAGGUGAAAUCCCCGGGCUCAACCUGGGAACUGCCUCCAAAACUAUUGAGCUAGAGUACGGUAGAGGGUAGUGGAAUUUCCUGUGUAGCGGUGAAAUGCGUAGAUAUAAGAAGGAACACCAGUGGCGAAGGCGACUACCUGGACUGAUACUGA